GCGUUAGCCCAGCGUGGAGCGGCGAGAAGCGCCCAGGUCGGCAAUUCUCCCUCGGGGUCUCUGACGCUGAGCGUUCCUGAAUGACUGACUGGCAGAAACUGGGACUGGAGUGUGAGCACCUGAGGGGCUCUCCAGUGGGGCUUGGAAGCGAGUGCCCCAGUGACUUUUCUUACAAGCUUGAGGGUGGCAUCUUCUGAUCACUCAUGUCAUCAAUUGCUAGAAAAAUGAGAACUCUCCAGAAGAUCAAGUACUGUGCAGUAGUUACCAUGCACAGGCCCCAUUGAGGCCUGGCCUUUGAAGUGCCUUGUUCACCAACCUUAAAGGAAGGUCCCAUGUAACACAGUUUGGAUUAGACAUUACAAAUGGCUUCCAGUUGUAUGGAUUGCUUUCCAGACUUUGUUGUGGGAGCCACCUGAUGAGGAGGGCCGAGUGCAAGUGCAUAAGCAGCUUCCGAUCAGAACUUCUGCAUGGGCUUGGCCCAGGUAUCUUGAAACUCCAGAAAGUCCUAAAUAUAAACAAUCAGCAGUGGGAGUGAAGAGGCCAGUGUGAUGCUGUGAGGAUGACCCUCCGCACGGGAAAGGAACUCGGCAACAAGCAGAACAGGUGCCUCAUCAUCGUCCCAUCACUGGGAUCGCUUCAGGUGACCGAUAGAUCCAUCCAAUCCUACUUAGAAGAUAAGCCUUUGAAAAACUUGCAAGUGCAAAUGAGAAGAAACUGCCGUGUCAAGGAAGGCUGUGUUAGCAAUGGGAAAAUGUGGCCCAUAUAUGUUAAAUUGAUUAUAAUGUUCAUGUUCCAGAGUAAAACGUUGCAGCAUUUAAAAAGUUGUAACCUAAGGAUAAGACAGAACUGUGUUGGGUUCUUUACUUGUAUGAUCUCAUUUUAAGUCUCACAAAGAGAUCUUUUUUCUUUUUCGGCUGCCCUAUGGCAUAUGGAGUUCCCGGGCCAGGGAGCAGAUUGGAGCCACAGUUUCGACCUAAGCCUCGCCUAGGGCAACACUGGAUCCCUAACCCACCGCACAGGGCAGGGGAUGGAACCUGUGUCCCAGGGCUCCCAAGACACCGCCAAUCCCAUUGCACCACAGCGGGAACUCCUCACAAAAGAGAUCUUACUGUCUUCAUUUUUUCAAAGCGAGUGAGGCUUGGAACAAAUAAAAAAUGGGGACACCACCUUAGUACUAAUACUCAGCGGAGCUUAAAUUAGAACCCAAAUCUGUCUGACUCCAGAAUCCUUUCUUCACUACCGUUGGUUCCUCUCAAGAGCAAUUUUUUAAAUAUUGACAUUAAGUUUUCAGAAAGGUUGAAAAAUUGAUUGAUUGUGAAAGAUUGAUUAUGAAAAAUUGAUGAUGUGUUGAGCACUGACAAUGGGCCAUGCAGGAGGCAGGGCAGUGUGGGGGAUGUAAUAAACCAUCCUCCACUUAAGAGCUGAGUAGCUAGAGCAGGAAGCUGACAGAUCAACAUGGGCUGAGCAAUAAGGCCUCCUAUGAGGGGCUGCGUGAGCACUGCGGGAAGGAGUGUUGGUUCUGGUUGUGCAUGGAGGACACGGAAUGUUCCAUGGAACAGAGGAAGAUGGCACUUUGAGGAGGCUGGGGAGGGCUCUGCAGCACUGGGACAUUGCAGAGUAAGGAAGGAGCAGGGAGCAGGGUAGAAAGUUCAGUGAGGUCAGGGUACGACUGGAAUAGUGGAGGGUGAAAGUAGGUUGGAGCCAGACCAUGGAAGGCUUUGAAUAGGAGCCUGAACUUGAAAUGAGGAGUUAUUAAACGUUUUUGAGUAGAAGUCAAGGAUCCAACCAAUCCUUGACUAAAACAUCCGAAAGUAUCACUGAAUCCAUCCUGACACCAAAUCACAAGUACACAAAGCACAUAAAGCAGAAACACUUAGAAAAUCAAUAGUCUUGAUAAAGAUGCAACAAAAUAGCCUAUUUACCUCUGAGGAAAGAGCAAAUGAAGGGAUAUAUGCCUGGAUCACUGGCUCAAACCCCCCCUGCCCUCUUUCUUCUGCAUUGGCCAAGAAUGGUCCCAUUCUCCUGAUGCAUGCAUAAGACUACCUCAUGAACAAAAAGACUUGGGGCAACAAAUACAACUCUCCUUCUUCCCCCACAAAGAAAAAAUUCCAGCAAAGAAAUGAAAAUUCCCUUCAUUUCCUCCCUUUCUUCAGAAGCCAGUUCGUGAAGAUUGCUUAACUCUCCUAUCACCUCAGGACACCAGACAAACAGCCUAGAAUGGGAACUGGAUCCUGAUGGCUUAAUUGAGUUAAAAGGAAAAGAGUAGAUCAUCUAAAAGCCUCUCAAUGGUUUCAAAGUGCCUCUCCCGUCUCUGAAAGCCCAGUGGCGGUUCUCAGUUCCUCAGUUAGGGAGGAGCUGAAUGAAUUUCCUAGCACAGAAUUCAAAAGCACUGGAAGUCAGCAGUUCUGAAAGACUGCAGAAAGGUCUUGUUUACAUUUUUCUCUUGGGCUGAAACCCAUCUAUUUAAACUUUAACCAGAGGCAAUUAUAAAACCGUGGUGAGCCAGAGAUGGCAGUCUGCACAAGACGGAGAGACAGAUGCCAACAGUCUGGCAUUGAAGGAGGAAGAGAGGGAAUAUUUUGAGAACGGAGUCAAGGAAGAACUACAAAGAAGGUUUUGGAAAUAAAAAGUGUCACCUAGGCAGCUGUUCUUCAGAAUAGGGGGAGAAAUGGGGGUGGGGGGGAGACAGCAGGAGGGGUGGGCAGGGAAGACAGCUUAGGCCUCUGCCAGCUGAGGUGGGUAGAGCUGAGGCCAUCACCAUCCUACCAGUUCACAAGUCCCGUCCUGUAAGAGCUUACUGCUGUAGCCCCUGCUCUUUACACCUUUUUUUUCCCUCUUGGGUCAAAGUGCCUUAACCCAGAGAGUCAGCGACCCUGAGAGGACUGCCUGGAGCAGACACACCCUCUGCCAGGACACAGGCCCUCUUCCCCGAAAGCCAAGCCUCCUCUUCGAUUCAGGUUUUCCUGGCAAAGUCCCACCUUGGAGCUGAUGAGUAGUCCAGUGACGUCAGAGGAAAUACCCCAUUUGACAAAGGACCCUGCUAUAGUUGCCAGUAAACUGAGCUUAUUAGCAUGUCCUGAUCUGGGUCUUAGGAUUUGAUGAGUCCUAAAAAUAAACUCAGAGAGAAAUAGCUGUUGCACCAAAGUGAAUGUUUUUACUCUGGAUCUGAGAAUGUCUGUGGACCUGACAUUGACAAUACGGCCAGUUUUAUUUAUUUAUUUUUAAAUUAAUUUUUUGUCCUUAGGGCCACGCCUGUGGCAUGUGGCAAUUCCCAGGCUAGGGAUCUAAUCUGAGCUGCAGCUGCUGGCCUACGCCACAGCCACAGCAACACAGGAUCCUAGCUGUGUCUGUGACCUACACUGAAGCUCAUGGCAAGGCUGGAUCCUUAACCCACUGAGCGAGGCCAGGGAUCCAACCUGUGUCCUUGUGGAUGCUAGUCAGAUUUGUUUCCACUGGGCUACAACGGCAACUCCUGGGCCAGUUUUAGAUGCAUACACAAAUGUGGGGAGGUCUACAAUCUCCUACCAAUCUCUUGGUGUAAAUGAGACAGAAAUUCUACCCCUAGAUAUUCACUCCUUUGAGUUUCUUAACUUUUUGGUUUUGAAUGCCCUUAUUAAGAUGCAAAUGCAGUAUUGAGAGGAUAGCCCUUGCCUGAGAAGGAAUCACCUAAUUUCUUAGGAGGAAUUUGUGUUCUGUCAAUUCCAGCCAAAUUAGCACUAGGGCUCUGUGGGGGAAAGAUCCAGGACAGGCAUCCUGGAGAUGGAGAAUGGGCAGAGGCCUUGGAAAUUAUGAGUAGGGAAGCCGGCAGGAGUCAUGAAAGAGGCCAGAGACAAGAAGAUCCGCCCCUCAACAUAAGUCAGAGUUCGUGUAAGCAGCUGAAAGCCAAGCUCAUCCUAACUUUUUGUGAAACUUUCUCUCUGCUCCCAUCUUUUAGCAGGGAAAGCCAUUUGGGGCACAGCCAGAGGGCAGUGGGGAAGGUCAGAGGAUUUGCAGAUAUUCAGGGCCAUGACCAUGGUCUCCCAGGGCAAAGAGGCCAAGGUUGUGGGCUUCUCUCCAGACCAGUUUGCUACUCUCAGCUGUAGAUCUCUCCUACAGCUCUGAACUGCACUCCCAGGUCCAGCCAAUCAUCUAAAAAAUUCAUGAUGCUGUUCACAAGGGCCUGGGUGGAGAAUGUGGGGAUGGCUCCGUGCAAACUCACCCUGACCGAGGGCAGACAGAUCCUAGGUAAUAUUCUUGCUUGUGUGUAUAUGGGGGGGGGCACUUCAUAAGAAGAAUAAAACAUAGCGUGACUUUUUGUUGUUAUUAAAUAUAAGCUGAAACUGUAUUUCUUAAAGUUUGUAUGAGUAGAAAUUGCUUUAUUGUACCCUCAUCCCUAGAGAGGGAGAAGGUCUGAUUCUGAGGUCUUCUGCAGGAGACAGCCUGUGAACACAUGCCUGUUAGAUACCCCAAGAGCUGCACAGAAAUUUCAAAGGGAUGCCCAGUACCUACCAGAGGGUGUUAUACCUUCGAGGAGAUAUUUUGUACAAUCACACAUGAGAUUUUCAAGUGAAAUCCUGGGGGACUAUACAUAAACCAGACAAGAAGCACAGUAUAAUGGUUAAAAGCAUGGAUUCAGGAGCCAGGGAAUUUGGGUUCAGAUCCUAGCACUUUUUAGCUGUGUGACCUUAGGCAAGUCACUUAAUCUCUCUGGGCCUUAGUUUCCUCAUCCAUAAAACUCAGAUAAUAGUACUUCUCAGUUCACAGGGUUGUUGUAAGGAUUAAAACGAGUUAAUAUUUAAAGGGUUGAAUGAGUUACUAUUUAAGUGUUACAUGUAAAAAGUAACAUAAUCAGGAGUUUCUGUGGUGGUGCAGCAGAAAUGAAUCUUCCUAGGAACGAUGAGGUUGCCGGUUCUAUCCCUUGCCUUGCUCAGUGGGUUAAGGAUCUGGUGUGGUAGUGAGCUGUGGUGUAGGUCUCAGACGCGGCUCGGAUCUGGCAUUGCUGUGGCUGUGGUAUAGGCCAGCAGCUAUAGUUCCCAUUUGACCCCUUAGCCUAGGGACCCCCAUAUGCCUCAGGUACGGCCCUUAAAAAAAAACAAAACAAAGCAAAAGUAACAUAAUCAAGUCUCUAGGCCUGGAAACCUCAGUUGAUUCUAUGAUUGACCCUGUCUCCAGGAAGGCCUUUGGUUGGCUCUGGCCUGUACUUACCCUCCAAUUUCACCAGCAUGAGGAGGCAGAAGAUACCCGGGAAACUUUCAUCUCCAGGCUUCCCCUUGAGCAUUAGGCAAGGCACUUCUCUGAAGUCUUGCAAGCCAGAACCAACAACAGGGAGCUCUGUCUGGUGCCCAGGCUUGAAAUGGGAAUCCCUCAUUGCAAACCCCUCAGUGCCUUGGUGGGCUCCCUGCUUGUGCUCUCACUAAAUGCUUCACCAAGCCAAGGUUACAGAACACAAGGAAAAGCCCUAAGUGAGAAAGCUAAGAAGAGCAAAGAAACUAGCAGGUGGCAGGAAGAAGGAUCACAGCAAGAGGAAACCCAACACACAACGAAAAAAGUAGAAAAGCUGAAGGAAGUGCAAGGAAACUUUUUUUGUUUCUCUAUUUUUGACCCAGUGAAAAACACAAACACUAGCGAAUAAACUGAGCAACAGAAUCAGGCUGAGCCAGUGAAGGGAGGGACCAGGCAGCGGAACAGCAAAUACAUGCUCAUUACCUCACCCUUCCUCCUGUGACCUGCAAGCAUGGCCCCAGGGCCAUUCGUUUCACAGCCUAAUAAUGAUUUCAUUUCACAGACUUCCUUCCACUUUUUUUUUUCUUAAUAAAAGUCCAUCACAGCUCUGUUUGGGGAAUCAGAAACAGUAUCUGUCUUUAGGAAAUUUAACUGCCAACAGAGCUCAGAUAAGCAUAAUUGAGAAGUAAAGAAUAGUUGGUGUGACCAGGACAAAUAUCAAAUCACAAAUAUUUGAAAUUCUUCUCUUUCCCGGCUCUAAGUAGAGAAGUGCCUUUGUUUGCUGAAUUGGCUCACAGACGCCUUGGCUUCUGUGUUGUGUAGGAUGUUGAAUGGGGAGGAGAAACCAGACGAAGGUCAAAUAUUUGUCAAAUGCUAACUGUGUAUCAGGUAUUCUGCUAAAUGCCAGAAAUUCAACAGUAAACAAAACACACAAGCCCUUGUCCUCAUGAAGCUAACACUUUUUUUACUUUUUAAAUUACAUAUAAAGUUACCAUCUUAGCUGUUUUUAAGUGAAUGUUUCAAUAGUGUUAAGUGUGUUUCUCCUGUGAUGGAAUCUCUAGAAUUUUUCCAUCUUGCAAAACUGAAACUCUGUGCCUAUUAAACAAUUCCCAUUUCCCCUUCUUCUAGGCUCAGGAUACCAAUAUUCUACUUUGCAUUUCUGUGAAUUUGCUUACUCUGGAUUCAUGUGGAAUCAUAGUGGUAUUUGCCUUUUUGUGACCAGCUCAUUUUACUUAGCAUAAUAUCCUCAAAGUUUCUCCAUAUUUAGCAUGUAUUGAAAUUUCCCUAGCUGUUUAGGGCUGAAUAAUAUUCCACUGUGUGUAUAGGCCACAUUUUGUUUAUCCAUUCAUCCUUGGAUAGACAUGUGGGUUGCUUCCAUUUCUUGGCUAUUGUGAAUAAUGCUGCUGUGAACAUGGGUGUAAAGUAUCUCCUUGAAUUAACACUCUUUUAAAGAGUUUAUUCCAUCAUAUUUGGGUUCCUUAUUUGCCCAUUAGUUGGCCCAAUUCGAUGGGUAAAUGCACAAGGAUCUGUGUUAUCUUUGCAUUCCAACUUCCUAUACAGUCCUAACACAUAGUAGGAACUCAAUAAAUAUUUGUUGAACAAAAUAAUUUAUUUUUACACUUCUUAGUCACUACUGCUGCAGCUGGCUAUUUUACAUAUUUUAAUAAAUAAGUUUUGCAAUUUUAAUGAAUGCUAUUUUGAUUAUAUUUACAUACUAAGCCAGUUUAUCUAAGGGGAUUGGUAUUAAAAAAUCUAAAUCUCCAUCAAAGUUCACUUUCUAGAUGAAAUGCUAUUGACAAUUCCUUCCCACUCGCUUUGGUUAAAAUCAACUGUUGCUGCUCUUAUUUCUCUCUUUCCUUCUCUCUCUUUUCCUGAAGUCAUAGCACUGUGUAGAUCUUGAGGACCUCAUUACGGAUCUCCUCAACUCAUGGGACGUCAUAUUGAACAGAUCUAGGCAUGGGCCUAGAGUUUGGUUCUCUCAGCCCAAAACCUCACGUUGAAGGUCAUUUUGUACAAGGCACAGCAUAAACAAAGCAUAGCCCUACCUCUGGAGGAACUCUGUCUUGUGGUUCUGUCUGGUUAUUCUUGGCCACAAUUUAAGGUCUCAGGUUUUUUUGUUGUUUUUUUUUGUUGUUUUGUAUUUUUAGGGCUGCACCCUCGGCAUAUGGAAGUUCCCAGGCUAGGGGUCUAAUCGGAGCUAUAGCUGCCAGCCUACACCACAGCCGCAGCAAUGCCGGAUCCUUUAACCCACUGAGCGAGGCCAGGGAUCAAAUCUGCAACCUCAUGGUUCCUAUUCGGAUUCAUUUCUUCUGCACCACAAUGGGAACUCCUGAGGCCUCAGUUUUCUUGGGUGUAGAAAAUAGUAUUUACCUCCGUUCCCCAUGAAAAACACAGACACAACUCUAAUAUUUAUAGAGCACGAGGAACUGAAAGACAUUGUCAAAAUUCUGAGUAGCCUGUAUUUAAUGAUAAUUACUAUAUGUAGUAUCAGCAGUUUUAGAAGCUAGUUAAAUAAUCUUUUACAUAAUGGAUAUUUAGAAUUAUGAUUUAUGGUCAAGGUAGCAUUGCUGUACAUAAAUCUUUAAGAUACUUGCUUAGCUCCAAACACAAAGCAAUUGUUUUUAAAAUGUACAAGAGAAAAAUUAAAAGACACAGUUGGCCCCAAAUAUAACCUUUUCUAUGGACCAGAAAUACAAAGCAAUGGAUAGGACUGAAGAUAUUGGACUCCAGGCCUGAAAGGAGGCAGAAAAUUCUGCAAUGGGGCUUCUGCAGGGGAAGUGAAACUAAAAGUGAUCUCCAUGGGGUGAGGGAAGUGGGUGGGAACCAGACCAGAUUCACUGCUUGAAACCAUGGACUAGACUGAGAGCCCCCAUCCUCAUACGCUCAAACUGGCUUGUUAAAGAAGUUAAAAAACCCUGAUCACUGACUAUGAUGGGCCUUUCACGAAGGAACUGUGAGCAGGAAGACAGGACCCAUGAUAGGAAAUUGGAUUAAGCAACCAAACACAGGCCUCUGUGAUUGACCCUAUGGCAUUUCCAUCAACACCAUAAGGGAAGAGAAUAGAUAAACUCUCUUUGCUCAGGCAACAUGAUUGUCUAUAAAGAAAAUAAUUAAACAGACUAUACCAAAAAAAGUGUUAGAACUAAAAAGACAAUUCAGCAAAGUUGCUGGGUACAAGGUCAACACAAAAUUCAAUUGCAUGGAGUUCCCUGGUGGCUUAAUAGUUAAGGAUUUGUUUUUGUCACUGCUGUGGCUCCUGUGGCUCAGUUCGACCCCUGGCUCAGUAACUGGAACUUUUGUAUGCUGCAAGUGCACCCAAAAAAAAAAAAAAAA
rnacentral:lncRNA from 1 species